GACGAACGCUGGCGGCGUGCUUAACACAUGCAAGUCGAACGGAGCGAAUGAAAGCUUGCUUUUAUGAGCUUAGUGGCAAACGGGUGAGUAACACGUAGACAACCUGCCGACAGGAUGGGGACAACAUUCCGAAAGGAAUGCUAAUACCGAAUGAAGUCGAGGGAAGGCAUCUUCCUUCGAUGAAAGAUGGCCUCUUUUUAUGCUAUCACCUGUUGAUGGGUCUGCGUCUGAUUAGCUAGUUGGUGAGGUAACGGCUCACCAAGGCGACGAUCAGUAGCCGGUCUGAGAGGAUGAACGGCCACAUUGGGACUGAGACACGGCCCAGACUCCUACGGGAGGCAGCAGUGGGGAAUCUUCCGCAAUGGGCGCAAGCCUGACGGAGCAACGCCGCGUGAGUGAAGAAGGUCUUCGGAUCGUAAAGCUCUGUUGACGGGGACGAACGUGCGGAGUGCGAAUAGCGCUUUGU
rnacentral:rRNA from 1 species